rnacentral:tRNA from 1 species
GGUUCCAUAGUGUAGCAGUUAGCACAUCUGCUUUACACGCAGAAGGUCCUGAGUUCGCACCUCAUUGGAGCCA